rnacentral:rRNA from 1 species
GGGUGCAAGGCGUUAGCCCGGUACUUUAUUUGGGUGCGAAAAGGGGCGCGUAGGCGGCUCUGCACGUCCGUUGUGAAAAUCGCCCCGGCUCAACUGGGCGGGGUCAGCGGAUACGGCAGAGCUUGAGCAAGCUAGGGGGCAAUGGAAUUCCCGGUGUAGUGGUGGAAUGCGUAGAUAUCGGGAGGAACACCAGUGGCGAAGGCGGUUGCCUGGGGCUUUGCUGACGCUGAUGCGCGAAAGCGUGGGGAGCGAUCCGG